UGGAGCAUGAUGGAGUUCUCCAAAGACCUCAGAAGCCAACUUACCUGGAUGUCUUCUUAAACGUGAAAACAUCUCCUAAACCACUCGGUCCUGAGGAUCAAGAGAGAGAGGUCGCGCUGAGCCAGGAGCCGUGACUCCAGCACUUCUCAUUCUAAGUACCAGAAGAGAGGCAUGACUCCUUCCCGCCCCACUGUAGUGCUUGCGUGUUCAUUAAGGCCCACCAGACUGAGUGGAAGAAGCUGCUUACCUGUCAUCGCUCAGAGAAGCCUGCACCGACACCCGAAUCGCUCCCAUCCAGCACUGUACCAUCACUGCUGCAGGUGCUUUACGGAACAAACCAGGACCUGAUUUUAGGUUUGUUUGCCUCUUCAUUGUGUGUGUCACCACCGAAUGGAGUCUGCACAAGGCCUUGUC